AUCUUGAUGAGGACUAAGGCCAUGGGAACCUGGGUGGUCCCCAACGAGGUGGGAGUUACAAACUAUAUCUUGUUCUUAAUGUCAAUCAAGGUUAGUGCUAUGGAAUUAAGGUCCUAGACGAACAUUGGAUCUUGAAGAUAAGGCUGAGGAUAUGAAUAGCUUCUGGCAAGUAACCUAUGAGAUCACAAGUUUCCAAGUAACCAUAAGCUUAAUUAUGACACACAUUUACUAUCUUACUUGAUAGAACAUCCCACCAAUUUCUCAGAUUGAAUGUGUGGUUGACGAGAGGAUGGAAGGAAACUCAGAAUCUGCGACACAUUCACACAUGAUGACAUGCAGCUAAUCUAUCGGCGGAGCGAAUGCUGAUGUCAAGGUUAGUUUAGAAUAAAUGGCAUACUGUUCAGAUCAAGAGCUUGAUGUCAAGCUUAUAGUCAUAAACUCAUAUCUUGUUCGACAACUGGAAGCUUUUGACGACAUGGGUGUCGAUGCAUACAUAUUUUCCAUUGCCUGGCCUCGACUUAUCACCGACGGACCCAAGGAGCUGGUGUACUACAACUAUUUUAGACUUCCAUGUGUAUUGCUGGCAUUGUCUGCAGUAUAGCAUGCAACAGGGCAGGACUGCAGGAGACACAACUAUGACAAGCCUGAAGAUGAUUCAUGGCGAGUUGCAUUUUUUAUGAAGCUUUCUAACAUGUGGAGACGAAGAGCUGCCAAUAAUGUUAUGUGUAGUGUAAUUGUUCUAGCUAGUGGUAUAUAUAAAAGUGGAGAAGCGUCGCCUUGUUAAUAAGUUCUGACAUACAUGCCAAGUGAAGUCACAUGUCUACUGAUGAUCCGCUGAGCAUUUCUACACUGAGAUUCGUUUUACAUCACCAUCGCCUUCUUUCAAGUGCGGCUGGCUCGCUACUUCAAAGGUGGCAGACACCGUCACCCACCAUUGAAGAGGAUCAAACCUUGACAGAUGCGAGCUGUCAACAUGGGAUACCGUGAGAUUCGUCGGCAAAGAGAGUGCCAUUUGAAGAGGAUGGGAUCUAGGUGUGCAACUGUGCAUUGUUUUGGCCUCUCUCUGUUCUCUAGGCCAGGAAUUGUAAUGGUGGGCACCACGUUUUCAUUCGUCAUGUUUGUUACUUGACUAGUGUUUUCUCUGUUUGGUUAGAAUUGCGAGCCGAGCUGGAAUGUGUGUAUAUGAAUGUCAUAUGAGCUAUGUUGUGUGCACAUUAUUUUAUAUUGUUUGUUGAAUGUCCAAAAAGAGGAGAGGUGGUGCUGAAAAUUCGAGCAC